AUGAGGACUAGGAUACAAAAUGACAACACUCAGAAAUCAGAGCCUAGGAACCAGUGUCCACCAACCUCCAGCCAACAAGUGACUGGACAACCCCAAAAUGUACCUUUUAUCAAGAUGAAGUGGUGGUGGCCACUUUUUCUACCUGCUCUUGCCUUUGGGAGUUUUUGGUUCUUUCAUACUCCUGAGGUAGAAACCACUACUGUUCUCAAGUUCCAGAACCAGAUGAAACAACUUAUGAAUAAGUACCAAAGUCAAGAUGAGAAGCUGUAGAAAAGGAGCCUAAUAUUACUGUAAAAGAAUCUUAAUAGCUCCCAUCCUCAGCCUCAGCCUGCUAUCUUAUUGCUCACUGCUGCUGGAGAUACUGAAGAACUUAAGUGUCUGGGUGAAUAAACUGCUGAUACCUCUUCUUCCUUCUGUAGUGUCCAUACCGUCUGGAUUGAUGGAGCAGGCAAAGCUGCCCCAGACAGAUACUGUCAAACUAGAGGUAGACCAAGAACUGAGUCAUGGCUUCAGAAAUGGCCAGAAUGGAGCUGUGGCACACCCCUUUGAGUCACUGCCCACAGGCUCUACUUUGAUCUUCUUUCUAUGAAUACUGUGACCAUGAAAACUCAGUCUUCAGAGAUGUAGCCUUCCAUUAUCCUAACCUUAGUCCUGUCUCAUUGGAGGAAGAGACAUUUGGAACCAGUCUAGGCCUAAAGGAAAUUGAAGAAAAAGUAAGAGAUUUCCUCAGUCAGGUUCACCAGUUAUAACACACCCAACUCCUACAAUCAUAUGGACUCGGACAAACUGAAUGGGCUCUGGAGCUGUAUUUCUCACUUAGUCCUGCCUGUGCAACCUGAAAAUGCUCCAAAAAAGGGCAUCUGCUUAUAAGAGGUGAGAGAAGAGAAAAUCACGUCUCAAGCUCUGAGAAUUUUUUAGACUUUCUAACCAGAGACAGGAUUCAGAGCUUUUUGAAAGAACUGGUUUCUUUUUAAAGAAAGUUAAGUUCUUACAUAAACAUGGAACAUCUAAAUCGUUUAUUCAACCUAA